GUCUUGCUAAAGCAGCUGAUAUACGGAGGAUGCUAAGAAGAGUUCUAACGGUUGUGUAGGAAUGUGGGGCAUUUGACUUAGCUUCUUCAUGUCGAAUGCUGGAAUAUGCAGUAGCAAUAUACUCCUCCAGCUCCUUGGGGACAUAAGGUGACAGUCUCCUAGCUGCUGAAAUAUAUGCUCGAAGUUUAGAUGGUUCAAGCGGAGUGAAACCAAGAGCAGGAGAUUCUUUAUUCUGGUGCACAUAAACUACAUGCCUAGCCAUUUCAAGAU
rnacentral:misc_RNA from 1 species